UACGGGGGGGGCAAGCGUUGUUCGGAAUUACUGGGCGUAAAGGGCUCGUAGGUGGCCAACUAAGUCAGACGUGAAAAUCCCCUCGGCUUAAACCGGGGAACUGCGUCUGAUACUGGAUGGCUUGAGAUUGGGAGAGGGGAUGCGGAAUUCCAGGUGUAGCGGUGAAAAUGCGUAGAUAUCUGGAGGAACACCAGUGGCGAAGGCGACUUCCUGGCCUGUUCUUGACGCUGAGGCGCGAAAGCUAGGGGAGCAAACGGGG
rnacentral:rRNA from 1 species